rnacentral:tRNA from 1 species
UCCCUGGUGGCUCAGACGGUAAAGCAUCUGCCUACAAUGCAGAGAUCCAGGUUCGAUCCCUAGGUUGGGAA